AUAGUCUGGUUUCUCUUGAGAUCAUAUAAAUCUUUCAUCUUUUACUAAAUAUUUCCAUAGAGAGGAAUAGUUAAGAGAUUUUAACUCAUUUUUUUGAGAGAAUAAUUUUUUUAAAGUAC